CUCAUAUUGAACCUAGUGAAGUAUGAGUUAGUGGCGGACGGGUGAGUAACGCGUGGAAAACCUGCCGUAUACUGGGGGAUAACACUUAGAAAUAGGUGCUAAUACCGCAUAAGCGCACAGCUUCGCAUGAAGCAGUGUGAAAAACUGAGGUGGUAUACGAUGGUUCCGCGUCUGAUUAGCUAGUUGGUGGGGUAAAAGCCUACCAAGGCAACGAUCAGUAGCCGGCCUGAGAGGGUGAACGGCCACAUUGGGACUGAGACACGGCCCAAACUCCUACGGGAGGCAGCAGUGGGGAAUAUUGCACAAUGGGGGAAACCCUGAUGCAGCGACGCCGCGUGAGUGAAGAAGUAUUUCGGUAUGUAAAGCUCUAUCAGCAGGGAAGAAAUACUGACCAUAGGGUCAGCAGACGGUACUUGACUAAGAAGCCCCGGCUAACUACGUGCCAGCAGCCGCGGUAAUACGUAGGGGGCAAGCGUUAUCCGGAUUUACUGGGUGUAAAGGGAGCGUAGACGGCAGCGCAAGUCUGAAGUGAAAUGCCAGGGCUUAACCCUGGAACUGCUUUGGAAACUGUGCAGCUAGAGUGCAGGAGAGGUAAGUGGAAUUUCUAGUGUAGCGGUGAAAUGCGUAGAUAUUAGGAGGAACACCAGUGGCGAAGGCGGCUUACUGGACUGUAACUGACGUUGAGGCUCGAAAGCGUGGGGAGCAAACAGGAUUAGAUACCCUGGUAGUCCACGCUGUAAACGAUGAUUACUAGGUGUUGGGG
rnacentral:rRNA from 1 species